UACGGAGGGUGCGAGCGUUGUCCGGAAUCACUGGGCGUAAAGCGCGUGUAGGCUGUUCGGAAAGUCGGGUGUGAAAGCCCUGGGCUCAACCUAGGAAGUGCACUCGAAACUCCCGAACUGGAGUCCCGGAGAGGAAGGCGGAAUUCUCGGUGUAGAGGUGAAAUUCGUAGAUAUCGAGAGGAACAUCGGUGGCGAAGGCGGCCUUCUGGACGGUGACUGACGCUGAGACGCGAAAGCGUGGGGAGCAAACAGG
rnacentral:rRNA from 1 species